GCUGCGCACUUCGGUCUUUUACGUCGGCCUUCGCGAGCGUCUGGGCGGGUGGUAGGUGAGUGGGUAUUGCGGGCUAGUAUCCGAGCAAAAGAUGGUGGCGCAGGCCGAGUUAAGAGCUUUAAUCCUGUGAAGACAUCUUAGUGAAGAGUUUAGAGUGCUGAGAGUUGAAAGCUUGCACGUGGGAAACGUGCGGCCGGACUGCCACAUGUACUGAGGUUGAGUCGUGACGGCCACAGGCUCCGAGUUUUGGCGUGAGGAACCGCUGAUCGGCCACGGGCGCCGAACUUGCUGGCCUCCGGCAUGUGCCUGAGCGGCGGCGGAAAAACCACCUUAAUUGGGGCGGAGGGUUAGUUUUAACAGCAAAGGGCCUUUACUAAAAUGGCGAAGGCCUUCCGUCGGCGUUGUUUUAAAAUGGGAAGCCUCGACCCUGUAUUGAAACUGAGCUGUUCGAAGGCGGCGUUGUGUGCAAUUCGGAUUAAUGAAGGGGAAGGGUUUUGUGUGGAAAAACGCCUUGGAGUGUGACAUUUCUGCGAGAAUGCUUAAAUACCGAUUUCCCGCAGGAACAAUGGCGCUGUCUUCAGUGGCACAGUGGAGCAGCUCUGAAGAUGCAAAGAUACACGAAAAAACUUCCAGAACAUCUGGGAGAAUAUUUAAUGGAAAAUCGCUUGGUUAAAACCUGACACUUUUAACAGCGUUCUGAGUGUGGACGAGUAGCCAGUGAAGAUAAUGAAUGUCGAAUGUGACUGACUAGCAGCUUCAUUUUGAAUGAGGGUCGCUGUCUGCCCAUUGAUAGAGGCCAGAUUGUCUUGGAAGUUCCAAAGUUGCAACGAUUUCUGGCUAGUGCCACGAGGUUUACUUGACUGUUGUGUGAAAAGCUGAUAAGAAAACCAUCCAGAAAAAAGCUCUUCGUUUUACAAACAUGAAAAUAAAACAUGUAAUUUUGGAUUAUGUUCCUUUUUGUUAUUACUUUUAAAUAGGUCCUGAAAUAACAUGGGGAGCAUUAAAUGGAAAAUCCACUAACCAGCCUUGUAAUCAAAUUACUGUGAGUGAAUGUUUCGGGUUUGUGCAGGGUACAAUGUAAGGGUUUUUGGAUCAGUGUAAGAGUGGAGAGACAGGAAUUAGAAGUAAUUGUUACUAAGCAAAUCAUGGAAUAUUUAGUUUUGAUGUAACUAUAAUUUUGAAAGCCUGGAUGCUUAAGUUGAGAAAUGGGGGAAUGAGAUACAGAAAAUAAGGAGCACAAUAGAAUAAUAAUAGCAGUUUAUUAAGUAUGGUCAUGAGGGAAGGUUACUGAUAAAACAAUCUGGUAAAGACAUUCAGGCUUGCUAAAAUCUAGGAAGAGGUCAUUUGGCAGGAUGGGUUACAUAAUGCUAUCUGAUACUACCAAAUAAAAUGAGAGAGAAGCCUUAGGCAUGUAACGUUUGGAGAUAGAAAAUGUACCUUCACUAUGAAGGUAGUGUGUGUAAGAUGGCAGUUGAAAGCAUUGCUUGUGUUUAUGUUUAUACCCUUGAUCUCUGAUGCCCUUACCUACCGUACUUAAAACUCUGUUAAUCAUUGUCUUUCUCCCCCUCCCACAACUUCUGCAUAAAAUUUUAAGAUCUGUGUUUCAUUAGUUCAAGAGUGCCUAGAAUAGGGCCAGGCACUGUUAUACAGUAUGUGGUAAAAGACUAUUGAGAUUCCAGUUUUCAAGGAAGAGUGCCAUUACCGUUUUGUUAAAGCUGGCAAACAAGACAAAGUUGUGAAAUAGACUGGUUGCUUUGGAGCCCUCUGACCGCUUUUCCUGUAGCUCCUUCUACCUCCCUUGCCUCCCAAUAGAUUUUUUAAUAUGUCACAU
ensembl:lncRNA SNHG5 small nucleolar RNA host gene 5